rnacentral:rRNA from 1 species
ACAACUUUCAGCAACGGAUCUCUUGGCUCUCGCAUCGAUGAAGAACGCAGCGAAAUGCGAUAAGUAAUGUGAAUUGCAGAAUUCAGUGAAUAAUCGAAUCUUUGAACGCACCUUGCGCCCCUUGGUAUUCCGAGGGGCAUGCCUGUUUGAGUGUCAUUA